UUUCUCAUUUUAUUUUUAAUUUUAGCGAUGGCAGACUUCUGUCAAACAUAAAGCGGCGUUCGAUUAGUUGGUAGAUGCAUAUAAAGCUUUGAAUCAAUCUUUAUUAGGUGAAAUGAAAGGAGAUUUUAGAGGAAUAAUGUUAGAUCUGAUGGCAAUAAUUGUUUUGAAAACGUGUGACAGAAACCAGGAGAAAUGGAAGCUCAGAUGGCUGAAGUUGGGACUGAGUAUGUGCUCAAAAACAUCCUCACAACUCGCAAACCUGGUCCUCCAAUCUUUCCCAAGGGAGAGUACGGAACUGGAUUCAACCCAGAUAUGACUAAUUCCUUACCCUCUUGGCUCUCACAACAUGAUCUUGCUUAUUAUGUUUCCAAAUUUCAGAAAACGGGCUUCACUGGACCCUUGAACUAUUACAGAAAUAUGAACCCGUAUGUGAUUAAUUUAUUGUUUCUCUUAGCAUAAUCCUUUUCUGGGGAAAGUAUUUGGAAAACAUGAUAAGAAUGAUAUAUUAGAAAGAGAGGUAAUUAAGUAAGUGUGUGUUGUUUACAGAAAUUGGGAGCUGACAGCACCGUGGAGUGGAGCGAAAAUAAAAGUGCCGGUAAAGUUCAUCACAGGUGAUUUGGACAUGGUAUACACCUCACUGAACAUGAAGGAGUACAUCCAUGGUGGAGGUUUCAAAGAAGAUGUGCCAAAUCUAGAAGAAGUGAUUGUGCAGAAAGGAGUAGCUCACUUCAAUAAUCAAGAAGCAGCUGAGGAAAUCAAUACUCACAUUUAUGAUUUUAUCAACAAGUUUUGAUCUGAUCAAAAAAAUGUCUUCAAAAUAGAAUAAGUUGUUGAAGUUGCUGUGUUUUUAUUUUAUGUCUGUGUGUACUGAGGAACACAAGUUAUUUUUAAUUAUGCAAGAGAUAAUGCAUAAAUAAAAAAAAACUUAUUUUUAUUUAAAUAUAAUUUUAGUGUCUGAAGAUCAAGUAUUAUAUGGACUACUUCAGUGUAGUAGUAUACUUGAAUUUUGGUUGAAGGAGCUAUUGAGACCAACUCGAAGUACAAAGCUAUGUCGGGUAGUAAGCGACCAAUCGACCGCAAGAGAAAAUCGAACUCAGAUCCAUUAAAUAUAUAAAAGAAUCUGCUCUAUUUCUAUUUUAUUAUUAUUAUUAUUAUUUAUAUUAUUAAUACUAUAAUAAUAAUUUAGGAUUAAUAUUCAAUUUAGUAUAGUAUUUUUUAAAAUAAUUAAUUAUGCAAAUUGAUUUUCAAGUGUUAAUUAUGUGGCGGAAAGAGAUUUAUUGAGAGAUGUGACUCAGCCUGUUGUUUUUCUCUCUCCUCUUGAAAUUCCUGAAGGCGAAAAUUUCUUACCUAACAAGCAAGGUAAAAACGUAGAUUAUUAAUAACUAACCUAACUUAUAAAAAGUUGAAAUAUUCAGAACUAGCAUGGGUAUCAUAACAAAAUUUAUCAAGGACCUACAGAUUGUGUCAAUAAAUCUGAAAUGCUGAAUGAAAUUUCUCUUCAAAUUACAUAAACAAAAGUCCGGCUUCAAAAAUUAAAUGCUUAAACAUUAUUAUAAAUAAUAAAUGACAAUUUUAUUGUAUAAAUUUUUCUUGAAGUAAUCUUUUCUGGUGUUAACUUUUGUCAGAAUUAAGAUUGUUAAGUCACAACUUACUGAAAUAUAUAAAUGCUUUUGGAAAGUAAUUAUUUUGAUAAAUUUGGAAAUUACUUAUUUUGAUAAAUUUGUGCAGAAAAAAUAGAGACGAUGUAUUUAUUUUCAAAAAUGCAAAAGGUUUGAUGUUCUUAUAAAAUAUAUAAUUUAUAAUUAUAUAUACUCUUAUUUAAUUUAUUUUAUUUUAUUAAUACAAUAAAAUAUUUUUUCAUUUCAUAUUAAUUAUUUAAAAAAUAAAAUUAUUUUUAAAUUUUUUAAAAUGUACCGUUUGUAUACUGACUCCACACUCUUUCUUUAAUUCCUUAUUUAAAGAUAACAAUUGAAGAAAAUAUACGCUCACACGUCUCUACACCAAAUUUCACAUAUAAAAUAAAAUAACCUUAAUUUUCAAUCACUUUCUUCAUUUCAUCUCAAACAACUAUAUUCUUUGAUAAAAUCAUUAUUUUUUUAUAUCUAUCAUCAAGUCAAUUAUAAUCUUAACGUGAAAAUCAUCAUACUCUUCAAUCUCAAAACUACUAAUAGAAGAAAAGAAAAAAUUUGAAGAAGAAGAAAGACUCAAAUCCAAGAAGAAGAAAAAAUGUUGUUUAAUCAAUUUAUCAUUUUUAUUUUACAUGUUAUUUUUUGCAUUUUAAUUUCGACUCAUGCAAAAUUUCUAUUAUUCUAAAAAUUGAGUAAAAGAAAAGAAUCACCGUAGUAUAUAUAAUAAAAAGAGCAGAAAAUAAACUUACAUAAUCGUAGAAAUAAAAAUAUUACUUUAAACCUUUCUCACGAUGUAAUUUUUUUUAAAAGAAAGUUAUUUAUAGAUCUGAUUAUAAUUAAUUAUAUAUGUUAAUAUUUUAUUUCUAAUUACAUUUGUUAGAAAAAUAUUUAAAUAAAAUAAAAUAAAAUAAAAUUCAUUAAUGUAAAUUGUAAUAAUUUUCAGUAAUUUAUUUUAAUAUAUUAUUAUUUUAAAUUUAUAUUUUUUAGUUAUUAAAUUUUAAUAAUUUAUAUUUAUAUUUAUCUAAUUUAUUUAUUAAUUAUUUUUUAAUAUAUUAAUAUAAUACAAAUUCUUUUAUUUGAUCAAUUAAAUCAGUUACAAAAAUUUUACUUAUUUUUCUUUAAUUUUUAUUCAAUCAAAUAUAUUUUUCAUUUUUUUCUUUUAUUUUUUUUCACUCUUUUAUUUAUUUUAUUAUUAUUAUUUAAAUAUUUUAAUAUAAUCUUUUUACUUUCUAGUCACUUUUCGAAAUCUAAAUAGUUAAAUUUUUUAUUUUUUAUUUUUCACAUUCUUAAGUUAAAGGGUAGGUGACUAAAACAAGGCAUUUGGAAAAAGAUUUAAGAAAUGUUGUGGUACUCAAAAAGAUCAAUGAAGUUGUUUUAAAAGACAACUAAUUAAAAAAACAAGUAAUGCUGUUAAUUUAUGCGUACUAUAAUUAAUUGGAACAUAUACUUUACUAUGGUAAUUUGUAUAUUUUUUCACUCUUUUCUUACUAUAACAAUAAAUAAAUAAAAUGAAUUUAAAAAUAAAUUAAACAAUUUAAAAAAUUGCAUUAUUUCUUUUCUUUUUCUUUCCACUAAUUUUUAGUUUUUUAUUUCAUUUCUCCUUUUCUAUUUCUUCUCACCAAAACAUAUAUAAUUAGAAUCUUUAAUCCUCUUAAUUAGUUUAUAAACUUCUCUCUUCCUGAUAAAGGAUAAGUCUUGACCUUUACAAUUUUUAUCACUCAAUAAUGUAUAAACAACAUUACGUAAAUAAGUGUCAACUCACAUUUUUCUUGAAUUUUUUAUUUUUUUAUGCAAAUGUUCCCCUCAUUUAAAUAUAUGUAAAUUAAUAUGAUAUAUAUUAUGAAAAAAAUAUGGAAUAUGGAAGUAAAUUGUAAGAAAAGUAUGAGAUGUAUGUAUAUCUAAGAAAGAAAAAUACUGAUUUAUUUAUAUUUUGUACGUAUUGGUUUCAUAUAUAUAUAUAUAUAUAUAUAUAUAUCCAUUUAAAAUCACUCAUUCUCUAUCUCAAAAACAACUUUUGUCUACCACAUCUUAUUUGCAAAAAAUCUUCACAGAAAGAUGAAAACAAAGUUGAAGACGGUUCAAUAAUUGAAGCAUCAAAGACAGUUCGAUUAUAUCAAAUGUAGUUUGGUUUUUUAGUGGGAAGCCUAGAAGAAAUUAUGUUAUGGAAAAGAGUAGUUUAUUAUGUACGUUAAACUUUAUGCACCUCACAUUAAAUAUAUACAAUUUAUUAAAUUUUUUAUAUUCAAAAUUAUUAACUAAAGAGUUAUUAUGAUUAUUUUAUUUAAUUACAAAAGUGCAAAAAAAAUUCAUGAAAAUGAAUUUGCGAAAAAUUAUCUUAUUUUAAACUUAAAUAAAUCAAAUUAUAAAUAUCUAAAUUUUAUUUUAGAAAAUAUGAAUUUAAAAUUGAAUAUUACAAUUUAAUUAUUCGGAUUUAAAUUUAUAAAAUUUCAAAUUAGCUUUUUUAUAUGAAAUAUAGAUUUGGAUUUAAUUUUAAUCUAAUUUUUAAAAUUUAAAUUGGAUUUGAAUUCAAUUAAAUUUCAAUGUUUAGAUUCGGAUAAGAUUUUUCGAUCAAAUUCAUGUUUAUUGAAAAUAAAUACUAAACAUGAAAGAAGAAAUUUUGUAGCUGUGUGUUUAUUAACAUAUAUAAUAAUUUUAAAGGAUAAUAAUAAUUUAUGCAGAUAAACAUAACUUAGUAUUUUACAUUUCACUUUUAAAAUUACAAAUAAUAAUAAAUUUAUCAGAACAAAAAUUUCACCUUUAAAAUUUAAAAAAAAAAAAUUUAUAAGAACAAAAAUGUAAAAUAUGAUAAGUUACUAUUCGAUCUUUUAAAAUAUUUUUCUAACGACUAUCGUUAUAAUAAAAUCAUUAAAUAGAAAUUAAUUUUUAAAUAAAAAUAAUAAUUAAUUGAUAUAGUGACUAAAUUAAAGACUAUUUUAGAGACUAAAAAAUAUUUAAUUUCUAAAUUAGUUUAUAUUAUUGUUAAAUGGUUUCUACAUUGUCUAACUAGCCACCAAAGUUUUUGCUACCAAAUUUAGAAUCUAAAUAAUUGGUAGCAAAAUUCUUGGUUGUUAAUUAGACACAAUUUUAAAAACUAUUUAAGAAUAAUAUAAACUAAUUUAAAAAUCGUCGUAAAAAUCGUCGUGGAGGAAAUGCAUGUGCUGAUAAGUUGGCUAAGUUAGGAUUUUUUCAUAGAGAAUCUUUUCUUUGGUAUAAUAGGCUUCCACCUUGUUUGUUCUUAUAAUUCUUUACGAAUAGGUAUAGUCUAAGUAUGUAUCGUUUUUCUUAACAUAUGGGUUUUGGUCUAGUUUCCCGUAUUUUUGUAUUUUUUUUUUUGUUUAAUAAUACUUUUUUCAUGUGAUGGCAAAUGAUUGUUGUUACUUGAGGUGUCAGCCUAGCUGAGAUCUUAAGUUGCAUAGUGAUGUCUAACAUGAAAACUUUUAUUUAAAAAAAACUAAUUUAAAAAUCAAAUUUUCAAACUUUUUUAGUUUUUAAAAUGGUUUAUAAAUUAGUCACUAUAAUAACUAAUUAUUUCUGGUAUCUAAAAAUUGGUUUCUAUUUCAUGAUUUUCUUGUAGUGUAUUUUAACCAUAUUAACUUUUAAUUUUAAUUUGUAAAUAAUAAUACAUAUAUUUAAAUUCAAAUUAAUUUGUUAUUACUAAAUUACUCAUAAAAAACUAAAUGAAAAAUAUAUUAUACUAAAAUAAUGGAGCAAAUCACAUAAAAAAAUAACAUAUGUUUAAACAAGAUUGUUAGUGUAAAUUUAAAAUAUUUACGUACAAAACCUAUGAUAUCAUUAUCUCAAAAAUUUAAUACAUUUCCAAACAUUUAAUUAUCCAAAAAUGAUAAUAUAGAAUCAAAGAAAAAAACAAGUGACAAUAAUUUUUCAUGGAUGUAAUACGUUAAUUAUUAAAAUAGAUUAAAAAAAUUAAAAAUUAACAAAUGGAAUGUCAAUAUGAUGCAAUUUUAUUGUAAAUAAUUCUUAAAAUGGUAUGAUUUAAAUUGAAAUUGUGUUAAUGUGAUAUGAUUUUAGUUUAGUUAGAUUUUAAAUGAGACUUUAACAUACAAUUUUUUUAUUAUAAUAAAUUUUUAAAGAUUUACUUAUUUUAAUAAUUAAUAAGUAUUAAUCACAUUGCUAAUUUUUUUAAUAAUUAUUAAUCCAAUAUGACGAGGUUUCCAUAUAAAUGAUAAUUCUAAUAUAUCUGAAUUAUGUACACAUAAUAAGGAAAUAAUGUUCAAAAAUAAUUUUUGUGAAAGUUAUUAAUUAAUUUUUCAAAAACAAUGAAAGUAAUUAAAUUUAUUUUUCAAUUUUUAAUGAAGUUAUUGAUUAUAUUAUGUACACCACCAAUUAAAAUAUAUCAUUAAUAAUAUUAAAAUAAUAUAUAAAAUAAACUAUAAAAAACACUUUAUUAAUUACAUAAUAAAAGAAUUCAAAUCCAAUUUUGUAAACUGAGGGAAUGUGUGACUAUUUGAGAAGAAAUGCGUAUAAUUUGAGAAGAAAGUAUGAAGAAAAUGGAUGUUUGAAUUUAGAUGAUUAAAAUGAAUUUGUGAGGAAAGUUCAUUGAAGUUUGUGACUGAAGUGAUAAUUGAGAAAAAUAUUUUUAUUUUUUUACAAUAUAUAAAAUAUAAAUUUAUAAAUUUACUGUUGUAAUUAAAAAUAUUUAAAUAAUAAAAUAUGAAAUAUUUUUCUGUAAAUUUGAAUUAAUUAAAAUAUUAUAAAUUAUUUUUGACAUCUUUAAAUUAUUUAUUUCAGUAUCAUUAAAUAAUUAUUUUUAUAAAAAUACGAAUUACUUAAUAUUAAAACAUAAAAAAUAGUAAAAUUAAUAUUAUCUAAGCAUAUACAAAUUUACCAUUAUAUUUAUUUAUAUAUUUUGAAAAAAAAAAUCCAUCCACUGAAUUAGAUUAUACCUAACUAUAUAGAUAUUUUAGAGAUAAUAAAAAAAUUAUAUUUAGAAUAAAUUUAUUUAUAAAUAAGAGAAAAAUAUCAAAUUGAGUUAGUAGACAGUCUCACAGCAAGAAGAGAAGAGAUGGAAGGCAUAGUACACAGAACAGUGGAAGUCAAUGGCAUCAAAAUGCAUGUUGCUGAGAAAGGAGAGGGUCCUGUCGUCUUGUUCCUCCAUGGCUUCCCUGAACUGUGGUAUUCCUGGCGCCACCAGAUUCUGGCUCUCAGUUCCCGAGGAUAUCACGCGGUUGCACCAGAUCUACGAGGCUACGGUGACACAGAGGCACCAGCUUCCAUGAGCAGCUACACCUGCUUUGACAUAGUGGGUGAUCUGGUUGCGCUUAUAGACCUUCUGGGUGUUGAGCAAGUCUUCCUUGUGGCUCAUGACUGGGGUGCCGUCAUAGGUUGGUACCUCUGCAUGUUUCGCCCUGAAAAAGUGAAGGCCUAUGUCUGCCUCAGUGUUCCUCUCCGUCGCAGAGACCCAAAAGUGAAGCCCGUUGAUGUCAUGCGGGCCGUAUACGGAGAUGACUACUACAUCUGCAGAUUUCAGGUAACUAAAUUCUCUCAUUUUCCUCAUUUUAAACAAGUAAACAAUUAAAUCAUUUUUUUUUUUGUUUCUGUGUGAAACUAAGGAAGGAGGUUGUACAGAUUAAUGGUAGAUGCAUCGCAGUACCUAAUUGUAUUUAAAACGUGUGACAGAAACCAGGCGAAAUGGAAGCUCAGAUGGCUGAAGUUGGGACUGAGUAUGUGCUCAAAAACAUCCUCACAACUCGCAAACCUGGUCCUCCGAUCUUUCCCAUGGGAGAAUACGGAACUGGAUUCAAUCCAGAUAUGACUAAUUCCUUACCCUCUUGGCUCUCACAACAUGAUCUUGCUUAUUAUGUUUCCAAAUUUCAGAAAACGGGCUUCACAGGACCCUUGAACUAUUACAGAAAUCUGAACCCGUAUGUGAUUAAUUUAUUGUUUCUCUUAGCAUAAUCAUUUUCGGGGGAAAGUAUUUGGAAAACAUGAUAAGAAUGAUAUGUUAGAAAGACAUCUAAUAGUGUAUGUUGUUUACAGAAAUUGGGAGCUGACAGCACCGUGGAGUGGAGUGAAAAUCGAAGUGCCGGUAAAGUUCAUCACAGGUGAGUUGGACAUGGUAUACACCUCACUGAACAUGAAGGAGUACAUCCAUGGUGGAGGUUUCAAAGAACAUGUGCCAAAUUUAGAAGAAGUGAUUGUGCAGAAAGGAGUAGCUCACUUCAAUAAUCAAGAAACAGCAGAGGAAAUCAGUAAUUACAUAUACGAGUUUAUCAACAAG
rnacentral:lncRNA from 1 species